GUGCCUGUGGUGUAAAGGUUAGCACACGACUCUGUGGAAGUCGUGGAGCCGGGUUCAAUUCCCGCCAGGCACC
rnacentral:tRNA from 1 species